UAUGGAGAGUACUCAACAUUUCAGACACACCAUCAUCAGAAGAAACAACCAUCAAGUCCUCAGACUUGCACGGAACAACGUUGUGAAAGGAAUGAGGUUGUGUUUGGGGCUUCCGUGUUUCGAUUGGCAUUACGGAGAGGGGGUUGUUG